rnacentral:rRNA from 1 species
GACGAACGCUGGCGGCGUGCCUAACACAUGCAAGUCGAACGGAGUCGGCCCCGCAAGGGACUGACUUAGUGGCGAACGGGUGAGUAACGCGUGAGCAACCUGCCUUUCAGUGGGGGACAACAGUUGGAAACGACUGCUAAUACCGCAUAAUGCAUUUUGACCGCAUGAUCGAGAUGCCAAAGAUUUAUUGCUGAAAGAUGGGCUCGCGUCUGAUUAGAUAGUUGGUGGGGUAACGGCCCACCAAGUCGACGAUCAGUAGCCGGACUGAGAGGUUGAACGGCCACAUUGGGACUGAGAUACGGCCCAGACUCCUACGGGAGGCAGCAGUGGGGAAUAUUGGGCAAUGGGGGGAAACCCUGACCCAGCAACGCCGCGUGAAGGAGAAGGCUUUCGGGUUGUAAACUUCUUUUACCAGGGACGAAGAAAGUGACGGUACCUGGAGAAAAGCCACGGCUAACUACGUG